UUUUUAAAAAGUGAUUCAAUUGCCUUUAAGGUUGUCGUACUUUUUAUUAAUGCAGUAUUCAAUGUGAGAAAAAAUCAUGCUGUGCAGAAAUAUUUUAGCU